GUGAAUCAUCGAAUUUUUGAACGCAAAUUGCACUCUCCUCGGAGAGUAUGCCUGUUUGGGUUUCAGCCUAUAAAAAAUCGACAUCGUUGCUGUUUCGCGGAGUCGUUCGUCGGGAAUUGGGUCAUCUUAAAUCUUUUUGUUUUAAGCGACUUAAAAUUUUCUUUUUGGUUCCAUGAACGUUUCUAAGAUUGUUUUCUUUACAGGUUUAAGGUAUCUAUUUUUAUUAGACGUGACCAUCAUAUUGGAUCGGGCCCAUAACAUUUCUUUA
rnacentral:misc_RNA from 1 species